GAAAACUUACCUUUAUUUCCGGGGAAUGAAUCCUUUUGCGGGUAAACCAGGGCCUGAUGGGUCAGAGACGAUUUCUACACACUUCACAGCCAUGUGCCUGAUUUGUGCUUCUGCUUUCCUCAUUUCUGCCACAAACUAGGUGAGGAGUUUCACACAAAGAUUUCUCAGAGCUCCUGUUCCUUUUCACGCAGAAAUUCUGGGAUCAGGUCAUCCAGGACCAGCCAUGGUAACAAAGUGAUAAUAAUGCUGCUCAAGUGAUGCUGUACUUAUAUUAAAGAUCACAGAUUUGGUUCCUGGGUCUACCUGUCUAUAAUAGUUUAAUGUGCUGUGAUCCUGGCUGGCUGGGAGAGGAUUGUGGCAUGAGGACCUGUUGAAGAAACUCUCGAGUUCAUGCUGUCUGGAUUUUGGCAAAAGCAAAUUCCAAGUACUCUGGCUGCUGAAAUCUUUUUGAAUAUUAUGUCUAAGAGGACACCUACUGGUUUUCCCAUAACUAAUAUGAUUUUCUCAAAAUUUUAAGUUAAAAAUUUUAAAUGUAUUGUUUCAAAUGGAUAUGUUUUGGAAGACAAGUUUCUCUUAGGCAAGGGGACAAAAAGAAACCUUGGGUUCACAUGAAAAAGGGGAGGAUUGCCAAGCACAGUGAGCCAGCUGGUGUGCUGUGCAACAACGGCCCCUUCAAGCUCAAGUCCUCUCUCUAACUUGCACCUGUUCCCCAACUCAAAGUUCCAGCUGAUGAUGAUAGACUGCUGCACCUUAGUGUGCUCCAUGAUCAUGUGCAUGGUCACUAAGGCUUUGACCUCAGUAGCUUUACCCUGACUGCCUCACCAAGUAGAGCAAGGCCAUAGACGUCAUGCAUACCUAGUGCAUGGGGAUAAUUGGACACAGAUUAAAAAACAGUGCUG